GAGCGGCGAACGGGUGAGUAACACGUGAGUAACCUGCCCCUGACUUCGGGAUAAGCCUGGGAAACUGGGUCUAAUACCGGGUAUGACCCUUCAUGGCAUCGUGGGGGGUGGAAAGUUUUUCGGUUGGGGAUGGGCUCGCGGCCUAUCAGCUUGUUGGUGGGGUAGUGGCCUACCAAGGCGACGACGGGUAGCCGGCCUGAGAGGGCGACCGGCCACACUGGGACUGAGACACGGCCCAGACUCCUACGGGAGGCAGCAGUGGGGAAUAUUGCGCAAUGGGCGGAAGCCUGACGCAGCGACGCCGCGUGGGGGAUGACGGCCUUCGGGUUGUAAACCUCUUUCAGCAGGGACGAAGUUGACGUGUACCUGUAGAAGAAGCGCCGGCUAACUACGUGCCAGCAGCCGCGGUAAUACGUAGGGCGCGAGCGUUGUCCGGAAUUAUUGGGCGUAAAGAGCUCGUAGGUGGCUUGUCGCGUCUGCCGUGAAAGCUCAUGGCUUAACUGUGGGUCUGCGGUGGAUACGGGCUGGCUAGAGGUAGGUAGGGGCAAGCGGAAUUCCU
rnacentral:rRNA from 5 species